rnacentral:rRNA from 1 species
GGUGGGGUAACCUUUUUGGAGCCAGCCGCCUAAGGUGGGACAGAUGAUUGGGGUGAAGUCGUAACAAGGUAGCCGUAUCGGAAGGUGCGGCUGGAUCACCUCCUUUCUAUGGAGA